AAAACAAAUGUCACCCGGAAUCAUCAGAAAAUGGAGCUGCUUGGAAGUCCGACAACCAAGGAAUUAAAGAAGUCACAUUCAUCAAGACAGAAAGGAGGGA